rnacentral:rRNA from 1 species
UUUAUUGGAGAGUUUGAUCCUGGCUCAGGAUGAACGCUGGCGGCGUGCCUAAUACAUGCAAGUCGAGCGAAUGACGAGGAGCUUGCUCCUCUGAUUUAGCGGCGGACGGGUGAGUAACACGUGGGUAACCUGCCUGUAAGACGGGGAUAACUCCGGGAAACCGGAGCUAAUACCGGAUGAUAACGAGAAGCGCCUGCUUCUUUUUUGAAAGUCGGUUUCGGCUGACGCUUACAGAUGGGCCCGCGGCGCAUUAGCUAGUUGGUGAGGUAACGGCUCACCAAGGCGACGAUGCGUAGCCGACCUGAGAGGGUGAUCGGCCACACUGGGACUGAGACACGGCCCAGACUCCUACGGGAGGCAGCAGUAGGGAAUCUUCGGCAAUGGACGAAAGUCUGACCGAGCAACGCCGCGUGAGCGAUGAAGGCCUUCGGGUCGUAAAGCUCUGUUGUCAGAGAAGAACAAGUACCGGAGUAACUGCCGGUAC